GCCAGACUCCUACGGGAGGCAGCAGUGGGGGAUAUUGGACAAUGGGGGAAACCCUGAUCCAGCGAUGCCGCGUGAGGGAAGAAGGUUUUCGGAUUGUAAACCUCUGUGGACAGGGACGAUAAUGACGGUACCUGUCAAGAAAGCCACGGCUGACUACGUGCCAGCAGCCGCGGUAAUACGUAGGUGGCGAGCGUUGUCCGGAAUUACUGGGUGUAAAGGGAGUGUAGACGGCAGCGCAAGUCUGGAGUGAAAUGCCGGGGCCCAACCCCGGAACUGCUUUGGAAACUGUGCAGCUCGAGUGCAGGAGAGGUAAGCGGAAUUCCUAGUGUAGCGGUGAAAUGCGUAGAUAUUAGGAGGAACACCAGUGGCGAAGGCGGCUUACUGGACUGUAACUGACGUUGAGGCUCGAAAGCGUGGGGAGCAAACAGGAUUAGAUACCCCCGUA
rnacentral:rRNA from 1 species